rnacentral:lncRNA from 1 species
ACCAGACUGAAGCGAUGCGGGAGGGCAUGCCCAGGAUGAAGACCUGGGCCACAGAGCAGAUGAUCUGGCCCAGCACGGUGACCAGGAAGAGAUGCGGCUUCAGGCUACCCAACUUCACCCAGGCCCCCAGGCAGUUGAGAGCGGACCCGGUGAGGGCGAUGGUGCGCAGGCCGAAUUUCUCCAGCAGCCAGGCCACGGGCAGCAGCAGAGGGAUGUAGGUCAGCAUGUAGCACAUGGACAGCCAGUCGAUGGCAAAGGCGCUGACCCCAUAGAAGUGCAUGAAGAUGUUAUUGAUGGAGCCGUACUGGAUCCACUGGAAGGCGUUGCACAUGGAGUAGCAGCUAAACAGCAGGACCACCACCCAACGGCGCUUGCUCACCUUGAUCACACUAAGGUCCUCGGGGCACGAGCUACUGGGGCGGGCCAAGCCACCGGACUGGGCCAGCAUACUGGGGUGGGCCGAACUGCUCGGGCGGGCCGACACGGCGGGGUGGAUGGAGACACUGGGGUGGGCCGACACGCUCGGAUGCAUCGACACGCUCGGGUGCGUGGACACGCUCUGGUGCCCCGAGGCGCUGUGGUCCACCCGGAGUGCGGGGUCCUGCGCGGGCGUGCCAUUUUGCUCCUGUUGGUUGGGAUCUUCAUUCACCAUGACCACAGCCCCUGCUGAAGCCCUAGACAAGUGCUGAGGACUCCAGCACUCUUAAGGGACAGUGGCCUCGGCUGCCGCCNUGCCGCCUUCGAGCUGUCGGGGCACUUGCCCUGGCCCACCCCGGAAUAAACGGAGACCAGAGCCUUCGUACAAGCUGCGAGCAGAGCUCUCCCUGCACUCACCCCCAGGCUUCUGCUCCCACUUUUCCUGGGUGUCUUCAGCCCCCGACCGCUGUCCCAGGCUGGCCGCGGACACCUCAGCCCGGUCCUGGCUACGGGUGCCUUGAGUCCUCCCGAGGGGUUCAGGCCAACGUCAGCCACUCAAAUCUCAGGGGAAAAGUUCGCGCCUUGCACGGAGCCUCUAGGUGGAACUCGGUUCCGCUCCCGGGCCGGCUUGGGGCCCCGCCCCCUCGGGCGCACGUGACCGCCCCACCCCCGUCCAGCCCGGCUUCCCCCCACCCUCCUGCCCCCCCACUCCCUCCAGCCUUCUCCAGCCGGGCUGGUCCGGCUGCGCAGUUGUUUCGACACAGCUUGCGGGGUGCAUUCCUCCCCCACGCCCCGGGUGCCAUGGAAACCGCCGGGUUAACCCCCACCCCCACCCCGCACUGCCCCUCAAAUGCAUUUGCGCCUCCCAGGGGAGCCGGCAGGAAAACAAACACCGACUCUGCGGAGGUGACCCCACAGACAGAGUCUCCUCCGCGCCUGUCCCCAUUCCCUGCGCGCGGGCACCGAUGCCCGGCGCCUUCUAAGUGUUCUGGGGAAUCGAAGAGGGAUUCCGGACUUUUUCCCACUUGGCUGAGCUCCCAGAUCCUUGCUGAACGUUCCGGUGUAAAAAGAUUUGUAGACUUCCCAGUCUGGUUGCGCUCCUGGGGUAAAUGGGAAUUGCAGGAAACUCGUUUUGCUGGCUGCUUUUCCCCGAGGACCUGGUCCUUUAUUGCGGAACUCAGAUUUGAACCUGUGAGGUAGGGCUCUUCUUUCCCGGGGCUGUCCCUGGGCAGCCCCCCUAGGCCAGCACCUGAGGGUGGAGGGUAGACGGGAGUUUGGAGAUUCUUUAGAGCUGCGGUGUUGUGGGGCAUAGCGCUGGCUCUGGACGUGGUCUUUAGGUAGCCCUGGGCUGCCACCUGUUGAUCCCAGCCCGUGAUAGAGGGUAAUGCCUCGAGUCAUCGCCUCCAGAAAGUCAGACCUGCAGGGCAGAAAUGCCUUCUCGCAGUGUCCAUUUUAGCCCCGAGAAGGAUAAGAGCCCAGAUUCUCCCUGGGUUCAAACACCAGCCUAGCUGCUCCUAGGUGUGUAAUGUAAAUUAAGAUGCACCACCUCUCUGUGCCUCAGUUUCUUCAUCCGUAAAACAGGGAGGAUGAAAUGAUAGUACCCACCUCACAGUGUUGUUUUGAGGCUUGAACGAUGUUAAGACGUGAAAGUAUUUCGAAAAUUCCUGGCAGAUCCUAAGCAUUCCAUGAGUGUUGGCUAUCCUAACUAUUCAAAGGCUAGCAUUUGUUGUAUCGUGUUAAACAUAUUUAGUACGUUAUGUCAUUAAAGCAUCACAGGAAUUCUAUGAUGUAGUUAUUACUGCUCACCUGCAUUUAAGAUCAGAAAACUGAGGGGGUGCCUGGGUGGCCCAGUCACAUAAGCAUCUGACUUCAGCUGGGGUCAUGAUCUCACCAUUCAUGGGUUCGAGCCCCACGUCGGGCCCCGUGCUGACAGUUCAGAGCCUGGAGCCUGCUUGGGAUUCUGUGUCUCCCUCUCUCUCUGUCCUUCUCCGCUUGCACUCGUUCUCUCUUUGCCUCUCAAAAACUAAAUAAAUAAACAUUAAAAAAAAAAAAAGAUCAGAAAACUGAGGCUUAAAAAGUGAAGUAACCUCUUACUAUGACCCCAGCUGGCUUGAAGGGACAUAGUUCUCAUGCCAGUCUGAUUUCAUUCAGGCUGCAGCCUAGCUGCUCAAGUGCAGUCUGGGGACACAGUGUGGGUAUCACCCGGGAACUUGUUACAAGGGCAGAAGCCCAGCCCCACACGUGACCUCCUAAAUUAAAGCCAUAUUUUAUUUUAUUUUAUUUUAUUUUAUUUUAUUUUUUAUUUUAUAGUAUUUUUAAUUUUUUUAAUUUUUUUUUAUUUUUGAGAGAGAGAGAGACAGAGAGAGACAGAGCAUGAACGGGGGAGGGGCAGAGAGAGAGGGAGACACAGAAUCGGAAGCAGGCUCCAGGCUCUGAGCCAUCAGCCCAGAGCCCGAUGCGGGGCUCGAACUCACGGACCGCGAGAUCGUGACCUGAGUCGAAGUCAGACCCUUAACCGACUGAGCCACCCAGGCGCCCCUUUAUAGUAUUUUUUAAAUGUUUAUUUUAUUUGUUUUAUUUUUUUGAGAGAGUGAUAAAGAGAGAGGGUGGGAGGGGCAGAGAGACAGAGACAGAAAAUCCCAAGCAGGUUCCUAGCUGUCAGCAGACAGCCGGAUACAGGGCUCAAACUCUCGAACUGUGAGAUCAUGACCUGAGCUGAAAUCAAGAGUCAGAGGCUUAACCCACAGUCAUUUAUUUUCAGGAUUUUUUAAAAGAUUUUUUAAAUUAUUUUUUUAAUGUUUAUUUAUUCUUGAGAGAGAGAGAGAGAGAGCAUGAGUUGGGGGGAGGGGGGCAGAGCGAGAGAAGGACACAGAAUCCGAAGCAGGUUCCAGGCUCUGAGCUGUCAACACAGAGCCCCACGUGGGGCUCACACUCAUCAGCCGUGAGAUCAUGACCUGAGCCAAAGUCAGAUGCUUAACCCACUGAGCCACCCAGGGGCCCCCUAAAGAGUUUAUUUUUUAAGUAUUCUCUACACCCAACGUGGGGCUCAAACUCACAACCCCAAGAUCAACAGUCACAUGCCCCAACAACUGAGCCAGCCGGAUGCCCCAAAUAAUUUAAUUUUACUUAUUUUUUUAAAUGUAGGCUCCACGCCCAACAUGAAGCUCAAACUCACCACGCUGAGACCAGGAGUCACAUGCUCUAUCACGGAGCCAGCCAGGCGACUCUUGAGGCUACAUUUUAGGAGCUCUCCAGAUGAUUCGUUUGUUUGCACAUUAGAGUUUGCGAGCCGCUGAGUGCUACUGCUUUCCUUUUGUUUUCUUUUAAAAAUUUCAGACCAAAAAAUGAAUUCAAAGCUCUGGGCAGUGGUUCUCAGCUUGGGUUGCACGUUAGAAUCGCAUGGGGAACUCUUAACAUUCCCUUGCCUUGGCCACACCCCAAAUCAGGUUCUUUAGGAGCAGACCCCUGGCUUCUGGCUGGCAUCUGCACGUUUAAAGCUCCCCGGGGGAUCUCAGCAGGUAGCCAAGUUUGAGCAACCCUGGUGGGGCCAGAGUCACUGGUUCUCAGGAGGAGGAACACUGCUUGGAGGAACCCACUUUUUGGCAGGAAGUAUGGGUCUUGAAUUAUAAUGGAAUGUUUGAAGAGAGAACUCAUGCCCAUGAAGAAUUUCUGCACGAACUUAACAUUCCCCAUUCUCAAAAUUCCAGCAGUGUUUUCCAUCAUUCUGCAAAGAGCACAGAACAUCCAUUCUCUUGGAAAGCCUUCCAGUACCUCUCACUGAUUCUUAUUCCUAGAUCAUCAUGGACUUCUCUCCAGACUCUUUACAAUGUGUUCUUUUCUUUUGUAAGGAAAUUGAUUUAUUAAUUUUUUUUGAGCAAUCUCUACACCCAAUGUGGGGCUCAAACUCACAACCCCAAGGUCAAGAGUCAGAUGCUCUACUGACUGAGUCAGCCAGGCGCCCCUUUACAAUGUAUUCUUUUUUUUUUCUUUUUUUAAUGUUUAUUUAUUUGAGAGAGGGACAGAGUGUGAGCCGGGGAGCGGCAGAGAGAGAGGAAGACAUAGAAUCCGAAGCAGGCUCCAGGCUCUGAGCUGUCAGUACAGAGCCCGACAUGGGGCUCGAACCCACGAACUGCGAGAUCAUGCCCUGAGACGAAGUCGGACGCAGAGCCACCCAGACACCCCCGUUUUACAAUGUAUUCUUAACUUCAUUACAGAUAGGGAAACUGAGGCCCAGAGAGUUGGAGUGUGUAACUCAGAACUCCACAGCUACUUAGCAUCAAAACUAGCAACAAUACUGUUCUGCAAGUUCCCCUCCACACAGCCUACCCCUUUUGCUCCUCUGGGGUAACAAAUGCUUCAGUUUGGU